CUGCAGUGGAGCACGAGCAUUUAACCGCUGCGCCACCAGGCUGGCCCCCUAAAUAUUUCUUGACUUGGCAUUCUCAUCAUAAUCUCUACCACCACUGCUCAGGUUCGGGAUCUCAUUUAUUGCCUGGAUUACUACAGUAUUUUCCUAACUGGUCUCCCUAUCUUCAAUCGUGUUCUUUUCAAAUUACCCUUCAUAAAAUGACCAGAAUGAUUUAUUUAACAUUCAAUUCUAGAUUACAGUCCUCGUUAAGAUGGUUAAGUGCCUGACAGUCUUUGUUUCUCACUGAACACAAUCAUAAAACCUGGACAGAAUGGAUGGCCCAGCUGUUUGAGAAUUCUGAAAAGUAAAUAGCUGCAGGCAGAUUGGAGAAGAAUACCAGAAUCUGAGGAACCAACAAACCAGUGAGGUGGAACACAGGUGGCUGGUUUAAGUGGGCUAAGCUGGUGGAGUUCCAGAGCUGAGAACCAGUGCUUGAAGUCUGGAUGGUGCACCUCGAUGAACCAGCCAUUGGACCGAGUCAGGCUACGUACACUGGCCUUCAGAAUUGCCUUUCAGAAGAAACCUAAAGGUAGGGCACAGGACCUUUUCCCUCAGCCAAAGCCUUGGAAAACCCAAUGAAUAAUUGAUUUUCAAACUGCUUUCCCCCACCAAAGUGGAUCUGAAUCUUCUGUGGCCUUAAGGUGAGCAGGUGUGGGGUCAAGUGAAUGAACAACAUCUUCCUGGCUUUCUUUCAAUCUACU